UACGUAGGUGGCGAGCGUUAUCCGGAAUUACUGGGCGUAAAGCGCACGCAGGCGGCUUUCUAAGUUUGACGUGAAAGCUCCCGGCUUAACUGGGAGAGGUCGUUGAAGACUGGAAGGCUUGAGGCAAUGAGAGGGGUGUAGAAUUCCCGGUGUAGUGGUGGAAUGCGUAGAUAUCGGGGGGAAUACCAGUGGCGAAAGCGGCACCCUAGCGUUGUACUGACGCUCAUGUGCGAAAGCGUGGGGAGCGAACGGG
rnacentral:rRNA from 1 species